rnacentral:rRNA from 1 species
UACGAGGGGGGGCGAGCGUUGUUCGGAAUUAUUGGGCGUAAAGGGUGCGUAGGCGGUUUGGUAAGUCUUAUGUGAAAUCUACAGGCUCAACUUGUAGUCUGCAUGAGAAACUGCCGGGCUUGAGUAUGGGAGAGGUGAGUGGAAUUCCUGGUGUAGCGGUGAAAAUGCGUAGAUAUCAGGAGGAAUACCAAAGGCGAAGGCAGUGUCCUGGCUGGCAACUGACGCUGAGGCGCGAAAAGCUAGGGGGAGCGAACAGG